GUUCUUUUAGUUUAAAAUAAAAUUACGAUUUGUGAAUUCGGAGAUCUUUAUAAGGAAGAACC
rnacentral:tRNA from 1 species